UACGAAGGGGGCUAGCGUUGCUCGGAAUCACUGGGCGUAAAGCGCACGUAGGCGGCUUUCUAAGUCAGGGGUGAAAUCCUGGAGCUCAACUCCAGAACUGCCUUUGAUACUGGAGAGCUUGAGUCCGGGAGAGGUGAGUGGAACUCCGAGUGUAGAGGUGAAAUUCGUAGAUAUUCGCAAGAACACCGGUGGCGAAGGCGGCCAACUGGUCCGGAUCUGACGCUGAGGCGCGAAAGCGUGGGGAGCAAACAGG
rnacentral:rRNA from 1 species